AUGCAUGAGACUGCUAGCCUCCCUUCUUUCACCCAUCUUAAGGAAGAGCAGCAGGUACUCCAGAAUGACAGCUACGUUGAUGAUAUUCUCACAUCCCACAACAACCUCAACCAGCUGAAAGCCAUCAUAGCAAAUGUGGAACAGAUCCUUAAAGCUGGAGGUUUUGAACUCAAGCCAUGGUUCCUAUCUGGUCAAAGUGGGAGGAAGGAGUGCAGAGAUGAGCAGGAGAAAUGCCAGGUGAAAACUAUGGUCUUACCAAACCAAAUGAGUAGUGAUGAUAAUAAAGCACUUGGACUGGGCUACAUAGUGGAAGAGGAUAAACUCCAUGUCAUGGUUGGGAUCAAUUUCUCCAAAAGAAAGAAGGAAAUGCGACUUGGACAGGAUCUAUCCCAUGAACAGAUAAGAGCCCACACCCCAAAUCCUCUGACACGUAGAGAGCUUCUCAGCCAAGUAUCGGGACUUUAUGACCCUGUGGGCCUAGUGACUCCUGUGAAACAGAAGGGAGCUAUAAUGGUACGCAGAGCCUUCCAAGAGGCGAGAAAUGGAAACUGUCAAGUCAAAGACACAUGGGACAUGCCACUUUCAGAUUGCCUCAGGGAGGACGCAAUGCAGCUCUUCGAGGAGUAUGUUCAGCUUGGUCAAGUCACAUUCACCAGAGCACUGACUCCCCCACAUCACCGAAACAAACCUCUAGCAAUCACAUUUUCAGAUGGAAGUGAGCAAGCUUAUGGAGCAGUGAUGUAUUUAAGGUGGGACUCAGACCAAGGCCCAGUCAUCAGACUAGUUGAGUCCAAAGCCAAACUAACUCCCUUGGACCACAAAGGUGAUGCUGUAAAAGCAGAGAUGUGUGGAGCGGUGUUUGCUUCACGUUUGAAGAAGUACUUUGAGCUUCACAGCUGGAUCCAAGUGGAGAGGUGGUACCAUCUUGUGGAUAGCCAAACAGUACUUGGUGCAGUGCAACGAGAAAGCUAUAGCUAUCAAACAUUCUUUGCAAAUAGAAUUGGAGAAAUCCAAAGCUGCACAAAGACUCAGGACUGGUGGUGGAUUCCUGGUUCCAAAAACAUUGCUGACAUAAUCACCAGAGGAGCCAGCCCUCAAAAUCUGGAUAAGAACUCAGAAUGGCAAAAUGGGCCUGAAUUCUUGAGCUUGCCAGUAAAUGAGUGGCCAAUCAAAUCAGCAAAAGAAAUAGCAACUAUUGCCAGACAAAGCAUUAAUAGGUUGCAAAAGAAAUCCUUUAUCGCUGUGCUUGCAAGAAUUGAAGGAGAGAAGCAGGAGCCAAACCAGACUGAACAAAGGAGACCUCCUGCUGGUUCAGCCAUCCAGAGCCUCGUGGAUGUCAAAAGGUUCAGUCUUCUAGUUCGAUUGAUUAGAACCAUUGCAUGGGUUUGGAGAGCUGCAAAGAAGUUUCUCGGACAGAAGCGAGUCCUAAACAACCCAAAGUGGGAGGCAGUCGCUCUAACAGGGGUCAUCACAUUGAGAGAAAGAGAGGAUGCCCUAAGAGACGUUUUUCUUGCUGAGCAAAUGGACGCAACCUUCCCAAGCACCUUAACAGACAGGUUGGUGGUAUUUAAAGAUCAUAUAUCUGGGCUGUUGUUAUGCGGUGGCAGAGUGCAGAGCUUUAAAGAGGAUAAAGUUGGUGUUCCCAUUCUUCCUUAUGAUGCCUGGGUGUCAACGUUACUAGCUCGAGAGGCUCACAAUGAGAGUCAUGAUGGAGUGGCUGGAACUGUACUGAAAAUGCGGAGGAAGGCAUGGGUUGUAAGAGGACGGAGGAUCGCUCAAAAGGUGGUUGACCGCUGCGUAAGCUGCAGGAAAGUGAAAGCAAGGCGUUGCCAGCAAGUAAUGGGUGAUCUGCCAUCUGAAAGAACGGAACCUGCUGCCCCCUUUCAGUUUACAACAGUUGACCUCUUUGGACCAUAUCAUGUGAGAGAUGAUGUCAAGAAAAGAGUGACAAUCAAAGUUUGGGGUGUUAUUUUUAGCUGCAUGGCUAGCAGAGCCGUCCAUACAGAGUUGGUCAAUGCUCUAUCGACUGAAAGCUUCCUGAUGGCCUAUCAAAGGUUUACCGCAAUUCGUGGACAUCCAAGGAAAAUCUGGUCAGAUCCAGGGACCAAUUUUAUUGGAGCAAAGCCAGUUCUGGAGGAGAUGUACAGAUUCUUGGGUAGCCAGAACAAAGCAGCCCUUGAGGAGACAGCUGCCAGAAGUGGAACAGAGUGGAUGUGGAAAAUCCAUCCAGCUGAUUCUCCACAUAGGAAUGGUGCUGCAGAAGCUGCUGUGCGUCUUGUAAAGAAAGCGCUCUACAGUCUUGGAGGAGAACUUUCCCUGAGUUAUAGUGAGUUCCAGACAGCUCUUUAUAUGGCAGCCAAUCUGGUGAAUGAGCGACCAAUUGAAGCCAUAGUACAGAGCCGGGAGGAGUGUAUCCAGUAUGUGACACCUAACAGCCUUCUGCUUGGCCGAGCUUCUCGAAGCGGAGACUGCAAAACAUUCGACUUUGAAACCUACCCCUACAAAAGGUUGAGAGCAAUGCAGUCAGAGGUAAACAAGUUCUGGAGGUACUGGAGCCAACUCGCCGGCCCCAACUUGUUUGUGAGGAGCAAGUGGCACACUACACACAGAAAUGUCGCUGUUGGAGACAUUGUCUGGUUAAGUGACCAAAAUGCACUGAGGGGACAGUUCAGGCUUGGAAGAGUCAUCAGCACCAACCCAGACAGUAAAGGUGUCGUGAGGGACGUCGAUGUCAGGGUCUGUCCAAGCUAUUGUGUUCCUGUGAUAAAACCUGUUAAAAAUGCAGUAAAGCCAAGAAAUCCAUCAUCUGAUGCAAACAAGGAGAAGUUCCAGGCAACGAUCCUUCGCCGGGAUGUCAGACGACUGGUUGUCUUACUACCUGUUGAGGAACAGAUGAAGGAUCCAGGUUAGAUUAUCAUAAGUUGUGCAUGCUUCAAAUGGAAACCUUCAAGAUUACCUUCAACGCUGCGAUCUUCCAAGUGUGACCACAGAAAGAUCGAGUGGGAGGUGUCAAGUCAAACUGGAAGAAGCAUUUACAUAGGUGCUCAGCUGGGGCGGAACCAAUCUGCGGCUGCAGGUUGGUUACCGGCAGCAUAAAAUGGGACACACGCAGCACUGAGAGGGAAGGAGAAUGAAUGACCUCGCUCAAACAAAGUGGCUGUGAGCACAAGGAUUUGCGGCAAACUGACUGUGCAGGACCUGCUUCAUCUACGGAAAUCCGGGUGGCGGCCGGUUUUUCACCUAAACCUAUCAACCAACCCUAUCGACUAAACCUUUCAACCAAACCUGUCACCAAAGUUGCCAUCGUUGUAUUCUAUGACCUUGGAACUAUUGCAAAAUAAAAGAGGAGGAAAAGAAAGCAACUGUCUGAUUCAUGAGUGGAGCCCAGCUCAUAACCCGAGUAGAUGAACAUCCUUUUUCAAGUGGGGAAACUGCACACUUACCCUCAGGAAAUCAUCAAUGAUAGUCACGUGUCAUUGAAAUUGGGGGAACACUUGACAAUAGGCCUUCCAUAUCGUAUUUUAGUUUAUUGCUGAUACUAAAUUUUUAUUUGUGCAUGUUCUUUUCCACAACCACACAUCUGCAUGUCACAUUACUACACCUCUACACACUCAGGUAAAUGAAUCCAUUCAUUAAUUUGUUGGACGUUUAUUUUCAUUCAGGAUUACACUGAGGUAGAGACCUCACCAACAAAAUAACUGAGUAAAAAGACACACAAGAAAAACAAAUAAAAUACUUAAAAUAAAAAAUGGCAAUAAAAAUAAUGAAAAGAUAAAUUAGUAGAAAAAUAAGACAUUAAGAACAACUAACGCAAAUAUAUUUUAAAACAAAUCAACUAAACCACAACAGGGUGAAAUUAAAUACUGUGAAAUAAAGAUUUAAAAUGCCUUAAUGACAAAAAUGAGGCAAACUUAACAGUGUUUCACUUAUUAUUCCAUAUUGGAAGAGCACAGUGAGUAAAAUUGGCUUUUUCAAGUUCAGCAAAAACAGCUGCCAACCCUGCAGUGCAAUCCAAUAAUUUGUUGUCAAGGCAGGAACAAAGUAUUGAUGGAAGCAUAUUUAAUUUCCACAGUAAAUAUAUCUAAUUACUCUAGUUAUUCUGCUCACCAGUUCAGUCUCAUAUUUAAAGGCUACUGAAUCAAAUUCAGUACUUGUACUCUGUGACUCUCUGGACUAUUCUUAAUCUAUAAUUAGAUUUUUUCACUCCAAAUUAAGUACACAAUGAUAUAUAUAGUGUGUGCUUUGUAUGUUUCUGAUACAACUGGAGAUUAAAGUGGUCAGGGUGCAUGUAAGGACAGAAAGGGGCUGAACUUCUGUCUCACGUAAAAGUGAACAGACUUUGGCACAAGGGAGUUAAGUAACAAGAAAAGAAUGUACAAAGGACAUCAAAACAAUGUAGCAAGAGAAGCCGGACAGAAAACAAGCAGCAAUCAGAAUGUCGUCUGACCAAGACAAGGUAGUUCUGAUAUCAACACUGACCUUUAUUUUACUCUACAGUGUGUUUUAUUUUCAUAGUGUUUGCAUCAUGGUAAACCUGUAAGGCUGAGUUAAUGAGAAUGGAUUUGUGAAUGGAGGUGUUUGAAGUGCAUAAAAGAGCUAUGGAGCUUCAACUGCUUUUGCAAACCUUUGAAGAUUUUAGGCCCUCUUAUCCUCAGCUAGCACAAAUGUUUGCUUGUUUUAUGAGAUGUCUUUGAACACCUGUACUUUUGGACUAUUAAAUAUUUGUUGUCUCCUUUCCUUAUUUUUAAUUGAAGGACUGCUGAAAGCAUCUAAGACAAUCUGACUUCACUAUCUACAAUGGACAUUACUUUUCCUUUUUCCACUAAUCAGUGAUCAUGCAUUUAUAGUUUUGCAUUAAUUAAUUAUUUUUUUUCUUUUUACAGUUGGAUGCAUUUGUUCGACCAGAGUUGGUUGAUUUCAAUGGAAUC